UAGAGUUGUAUUUGUAAGUCGCUCUGGAUAAGAGCGUCUGCUAAAUGACUUAAA
rfam:Salmo salar isolate Sally breed double haploid chromosome ssa21, whole genome shotgun sequence.